rnacentral:sRNA from 1 species
UUCAAGUAGCCCACAAUUUAGUUCAAGAACAGCUUCCAGCUGGGCAUAUUGAGCCUACUCUUAGCCCUUCAAACACUCCAAUCUUUGUGGUAAGGAAAAAAUCUGGCAAAUUGAACUGUGGAACUAAUGGGGGCUUUAUAGUCUGAACUUCCUUCUCCUACAGCUAUCUCGCUUGAUGAUCAAUUAACAGUAAUAGAUUUAAAAAAUUGUUUUUUUUCACUAUGCUGUUACAUCCAAAUGACUGUAAGAUAUUUGCUUUUAG